rnacentral:rRNA from 1 species
UACAGAGGUGGCAAGCGUUGUUCGGAAUUACUGGGCGUAAAGGGCGCGUAGGCGGCCUUCUAAGUCAGACGUGAAAUCCCCCGGCUUAACCUGGGAACUGCGUCUGAUACUGGGAGGCUUGAGUAUGGGAGAGGGAUGUAGAAUUCCAGGUGUAGCGGUGAAAUGCGUAGAUAUCUGGAGGAAUACCGGUGGCGAAGGCGGGUCUCUGGGCAGUAACUGACGCUGAGGAGCGAAAGCGUGGGGAGCGAACAGG